GACGAACGCUGGCGGCGUGCUUAACACAUGCAAGUCGAACGGAAAGGCCCUGCUUUUGUGGGGUGCUCGAGUGGCGAACGGGUGAGUAACACGUGAGUAACCUGCCCUUGACUUUGGGAUAACUUCAGGAAACUGGGGCUAAUACCGGAUAGGAGCUCCUGCUGCAUGGGGGGGGUUGGAAAGUUUCGGCGGUUGGGGAUGGACUCGCGGCUUAUCAGCUUGUUGGUGGGGUAGUGGCUUACCAAGGCUUUGACGGGUAGCCGGCCUGAGAGGGUGACCGGCCACAUUGGGACUGCGAUACGGCCCAGACUCCUACGGGAGGCAGCAGUGGGGAAUCUUGCGCAAUGGGCGGAAGCCUGAUGCAGCAACGCCGCGUGCGGAAUGACGGCCUUCGGGUUGUAAACCGCUUUCGCCUGUGCCGAAGCGUGAGUGACGGUAAUGGGUAAAGAAGCACCGGCUAACUACGUG
rnacentral:rRNA from 1 species